rnacentral:rRNA from 1 species
AGUGGCGGACGGGUGAGUAACGCGUGAGAAUCUGCCUUGGGGUCGGGGACAACCACUGGAAACGGUGGCUAAUACCGGAUAAGCCGAUUGGUGAAAGAUUUAUUGCCCGAAGAGGAGCUCGCGUCUGAUUAGCUAGUUGGUGAGGUAAGAGCUCACCAAGGCAGCGAUCAGUAGCUGGUCUGAGAGGACGAUCAGCCACACUGGGACUGAGACACGGCCCAGACUCCUACGGGAGGCAGCAGUGGGGAAUUUUCCGCAAUGGUCGAAAGCCUGACGGAGCAAGACCGCGUGAGGGAGGAAGGCUCUUGGGUUGUAAACCUCUUUUCUCAGGGAAGAAGCUCUGACGGUACCUGAGGAAUCAGCCUCGGCUAACUCCGUGCCAGCAGCCGCGGUAAUACGGAGGAGGCAAGCGUUAUCCGGAAUUAUUGGGCGUAAAGCGUCCGCAGGUGGCGAUUCAAGUCUGCUGUCAAAGCACGGGGCUUAACUCCGUAAAGGCAGUGGAAACUGAAUAGCUAGAGUGCCGUAGGGGUAGAGGGAAUUCCCGGUGUAGCGGUGAAAUGCGUAGAGAUCGGGAAGAACAUCGGUGGCGAAAGCGCUCUACUGGACGGCAACUGACACUCAGGGACGAAAGCUAGGGGAGCGAAUGGGAUUAGAUACCCC